GUUAUACUCCCUCCGUCCGAAAAUACUUGUCAUCAAAAUGGACAAAAAGGGAUGUAUCUAGAACUAAAAUACAUCUAGAUACAUCCCCUUUUAUUCAUUUUGAUGACAAGUAUUUCCGGACGGAGGGAAUACUAC
rnacentral:pre_miRNA from 1 species